ACACUCUUGAUGCACAGUGCAUACACUAAAAUUGAAGGGAUACAGAGAUGCUAACAUGCCUCCUGAACCAGGGUGACACAUAAAUUUAUGUGGAGCAUUCUAUACUA